AGCAGUAGCCACGGGAAUACGUAGGUGGCAAGCGUUGCCCGGAAUUAUUGGGCGUAAAGCGCGCGCAGGCGGAUAGGUCAGUCUGUCUUAAAAGUUCGGGGCUUAACCCCGUGAUGGGACGGAAACUGCCAAUCUAGAGUAUCGGAGAGGAAAGUGGAAUUCCUAGUGUAGCGGUGAAAUGCGUAGAAAUUAGGAGGAACACCAGUGGCGAAGGCGGCUUUUUGGCCUGUAACUGACACUGAGGCGCGAAAGCGUGGGGAGCAAACAGGAUUAGAUACCCCGGUAGUCCCUGUCUCUUAUACA
rnacentral:rRNA from 1 species